rnacentral:tRNA from 1 species
AUCUAAUUACCCUUAACAUACAAAGUUCAUAACUCUUAAUUAUGAGAAGGUGGAGAAUGACCACCAUUAGAUU